rnacentral:lncRNA from 1 species
AGGAACUGAUCUCCAAGUUGUUUUGGACAAGUUCAGAAGCUUACUGAGGCCUUAAAAUUAUAAUUUUGUUUCAUUUGGGUUGCUUUUGAACAAAAGUGUAAGGGUCACUGGAAGACAGGACACAACCUGCUGAGAUGCAACGAAGACAGUGUUCUACAGAUGAAACACAGGAACACUUCACUGGAAACUGAAUGGAGAUGAAAAUAUAAAGUGGAAUGAGAGCUGGAUUUAAAGCUCAUGUAUAAUCAAGCUGAGGAAGCUGUAUACUGAUUUUGACUUUGGUGGUCACCUAUGGGACUGUCCAUCCUAGAGUCUGCAUGCAUAAAGAAAAGUGUUUGAAGACCUGAAAACUGAAAAUGAGGUAUGCCACUGUUUGCUAGCCUAUUUUAAAUUCA